CAGGCGGGGCCACCCGCUGAGUUUUAAUGCAUAUCAAUUAAGCGGGAGUGAAGUGC
rnacentral:rRNA from 1 species